rnacentral:lncRNA from 1 species
GGAGCAGGGUAGUGUGUAUAACUAGGGAGCAGGGUAGUGUAUAUAUCUAAGGAGCAGGGUAGUGUAUAUAUCUAGGGAGCAGGGUAGUGUCUAUAACUAGGGAGCAGGGUAGUGUGUAUAACUAGGGUAGUGUAUAUAACUAGGGUAGUGUAUAUAUCUAGGGAGCAGGGUAGUGUAUAUCUAAGGAGCAGGGUAGUGUAUAUAACUAGGGAGCAGGGUAGUGUCUAUAACUAG